GCAGCUGACGCCUGACACACACCUGAGAGCUGAAGGGAAGUCAAACCAUUUCGGGGAAAUGACUCUGUGGCACUGACAGGUUUGAUCCGAUGGUAACAAACCAAGAGAACCAACAGAAGCCUGCACCAGUGGUGAAAACGACGUGCACCUAACUUGUUGAACCGCAUAACAAUGGUUAACAGAUCCUCAUGAGCAUCUUUCACCUGCCGAAGCCAAGAGAGGAUCGGUUCCUGUGGAAUUUUGAUGGUCAUCAAAAUGUACAAUGGCCAGAGAAAUACCAAAUCGAUUGCUUGUUUUACAGAGAGAGUUUUGUGAACAUGCUGCUUUAUUUCUUGAUGAAUAUCAUGAAAAUAUAGAGGGAAUGAGAGCUACUGAAAAAGAGCAUUGUGCGAUUGCUGCGGAAGCCAGCAGGCUAAAGAAUGAAACCAAAUGGUCGACUUACAAGGGGAACGGCAUGACAGCAUUUGGAGUUCUACUUGGACUAAGGGCCAAUCCCAAUUCUACCCCUUACCCCUUAGCCCUACCCCUUUGAUAUGCGCGUUCACGAGGCUUAAGGGCUAUCCCAAUUCUCCUUUUUGAAUAGGGGUAGGGGUAAGGGGAAGGGCUAUUUCACCCCUUUCAGCGAAGUCUGCAUCGAUGCUCCCUAUUCUCAAUAGGGGUAGAUGGAGUUUCACAUUGGCCAGAAAAAAAACAACAUGGCGCCCACCAAGGAGUCGCACAAGUGUAAGCUUGCUUUCCGUUUACUAUUUAAAAAGCUAUAAAAAGUGUAUUUUCUUUACUGAAAUGUGUAGAUAUACUAGCGUGACAGUGUCCCAGUCAUGGAUUAACGUUUUAGCGCUGCGUAGCACCGUUUCCGAUCGUAAAUUUGUAACUUCUGAAGAGCACUAAUCACUGUAUUAAAGUCAUAUUUUAUCAUGGUUUUAACGUCAUAUGUUUGACACAGGGACCCCCGAUGAAACCCGACUUCUAAUUCAAUUCAGAGGUGAAAAUGAAGAGAAGUUCUUGAAAUCCAAAUACAGCGCCAAAACACAGUGGGAGUAAGUUAUAUUAUUCGUCUAAGCUAUAAUAUGUUAGCAAUAAAACCUGUUUAUAUAAACAUAUAUGUAUUACUUUGGGACAUUCUUGAAAGACAAUGGCUUGGAAGGGGAAGUUACAGCCCAGCAAGCUUCCAAAAAGUGGGAGAACCUGAAAAAGAAAUACAAGGACCUGAAACUUGUAAAGUCUGGCUCCGGCACAGAGGAGGGGGAAACCACUGCUGCCAAUUGGCCCUAUUUUGAAGAGAUGCACAGGGUGCUGGGAUCCAGACCUUCGGUGGACCCCCCUGUAGUUGUUGCAUCUUAUUCACAGGAUCCAACAGCCUUAUUGAUGGAAAUGGUGGAGCCUAGCACAUCUGGGGCAUCCUCUUCAGCUUCACUUCUAUCUUCCACUCCUGCCAGUGCUGCCACUCCAUCCUCCACCAUCACACAGCCGACGCCUCCCCCAGAAUCACCCUCCCCACGAAAAAAGAAAAGGAAGUCUCACCAUCUGCUGGAAUUUCUGAAAGAGGAAUCAGCCAAGGAGCAGAGAAGACAUGAGGAGAGUGAGAGGAAGACAGACAGGCUCCUUGAACUUUUUGAAAAAAUGGUGGACAAAAUGUAGCCAAGUUGGAUGUUAAUUUUUAGGCCUUAUCUUUUUUUUUUUUUUAAUAAGUUUCUAUAAGUUCAGGGUAAUUGUGUUCAUGUUUACAAUUGUAUGGUAAUUUGCACUGUUCAAAUUUGCACAUUUUUUUGUUUUUGUAUAAGCCAAAGUACUUGAAAAGUUACGUGUGUU